rnacentral:rRNA from 1 species
AGCGAACGCUGGCGGCAGGCUUAACACAUGCAAGUCGAGCGGCCGUAGCAAUACGGCAGCGGCAGACGGGAGAGUAACACGUGGGAACGUACCCUUCAGUACGGAACAACCAAGGGAAACUUUGGCUAAUACCGUAUACGUCCGUAAGGAGAAAGAUUUAUCGCUGAAGGAUCGGCCCGCGUCUGAUUAGCUAGUUGGUGAGGUAACGGCUCGCCAAGGCGACGAUCAGUAGCUGGUCUGAGAGGAUGAUCAGCCUCACUGGGACUGAGACACGGCCCAGACUCCUACGGGAGGCAGCAGUGGGGAGUAUUGGACAAUGGGCGCAAGCCUGAUCCAGCCAUGCCGCGUGGAUGAUGAAGGCCCUAGGGUUGUAAAGUCCUUUUAACGGGGAAGAUAAUGACGGUACCCGUAGAAUAAGCCCCGGCUAACUUCGUGCCAGCAGCCGCAGUAA